UACGUAGGGCGCAAGCGUUAUCCGGAAUUAUUGGGCGUAAAGAGCUCGUAGGCGGUUUGUCGCGUCUGCCGUGAAAGUCCGGGGCUCAACUCCGGAUCUGCGGUGGGUACGGGCAGACUAGAGUGAUGUAGGGGAGACUGGAAUUCCUGGUGUAGCGGUGAAAUGCGUAGAGAUCCGGAAGAACACCAGUGGCGAAGGCGGCGAUCUGGGGAAGAUACUGACGCUGAGGUGCGAAAGCGUGGGGAGCAAACAGG
rnacentral:rRNA from 1 species